AGCCGGAGCCAGCCUGGCGCUGAGGAGGUGCAGACGAGAAACCGACAGUCACGUUAGCGGUUCCAACAACCCUUCAAGACCGUAUCACAGAUGUCUUAGAGGUCACCGUCGGUUACUUCUUUGGGGUCCCCCCCCAACUCCUCUCAGGCAAAGGUGGGAGAAUGAAAUGCAGCUUCCAACGCAUCGAGCGCACGCACAUCUACAGAAGUGGAAACGGUGCGCGUUUGACCCUGCUGCCCUGUCGCAGUUACUAAACACAUCACGAAGGAGUAGGCCUCGCUUUCUUUUCUCCCCGGGUGUAUGAAUGGGAAUCACAACACGCAUAUUUCUUGUGAUGGAGCUUGACUCCCUCGAGUUGGCUGGAUUGGUGACUGAGUAUGCAAAGAGAAAAAUGGUAACUCGACAGCAGAGGAAACUGGCAGACACCACCCUUACCGCCUGAUGGAGGUUAACAUCGUUAGUAAUGUCAUGUUCACACCAGGUACGAGCACACGGCAACAAAACUGUUCUGGGAUAUCCUUUCCCAAAACCCCCAACUUCACUCAUCACAAAAAAAAAAAAAAAAAAAAAAAAGAUAAGAUAAAUGCAAAUUGAUGAACAUUGUUUAAGAUACCUAAUGAAUCCUCAUCAAAAGUGUUUGGAUCAUGAAAAACAAGGAUAACAGAACAACUGUUAGAGAUGAGAGAAAACUAAACAGAUAAAAUGAUUAAAUGCAACUUGAUGGCCUGGAAUGGGAUCCUGCAACACAAGGACGAUAGUGGGGAAAAAAUUUAGUAAAAUCCAUAUCGUUUGUAAGGUAAACAGUAUUGUAUCAAUGUUAAUUUCUUUGCUUUGACGAAUGUAAACAUAUCUGUGAAAUAGUAACAUGAGUUGAAAGUGUGUGGAAGUUACAUGGGAACUCUAUAUUUGCCACGUUACACUAAAUCUAAAAUUGUUUAAAAAU